UACGGGGGGAGCAAGCGUUGUUCGGAUUUACUGGGCGUAAAGGGCGCGUAGGCGGCCACCGCAAGUCGACUGUGAAAUCUCCGGGCUUAACCCGGAAAGGUCAGCCGAUACUGCGGGGCUAGAGUGCAGAAGGGGCAACUGGAAUUCUCGGUGUAGCGGUGAAAUGCGUAGAUAUCGAGAGGAACACCUGCGGCGAAGGCGGGUUGCUGGGCUGACACUGACGCUGAGGCGAGCGAAAGCUAGGGGAGCGAACGGG
rnacentral:rRNA from 1 species